AGUGAAGGUUUUUUUUUUUUUUUGUCUCAUAGUUACUUAAAAAGUUGUGCCUAAUUUAAUUUUAUUUAAUAAUUAAAGGUAGACUAUUUAUCACAAUUCAAAUUAUAAAUCAAAUUAACACUAAGACUUAAAUCAAUAUAAAAUUUUUAAAAUUUAUAAUAAUUUCAAAUAAUCCCUUAUCCAUCCAUAAAACUCAUAUUUUAAGUUUAAUUUAAAGAUAUCAACCAAACAGAGUACAAUAAUAACAUGAACCAAUGAAAAGUUCUCAACCUGACCUAUAAUAUUAAAAUAAAAUCAUUUGAGCUAUUUGAGUAGGACCUGUUCAUGAAAGGGCAAAAGGCUUUUUACUGACUUCUCACCUGGAUGAUACUUCUUUUUUUUUACCCUAAUGGGUGGGCACAGUGAGGCCAGAAAGGCACACGGUAGUCCGUUUCAGGCGACUGGCAAAGUACUAAAUAUUAAAUAUAGACAAGGGGCAGGAAGCAGGCGAUCAGGCAGGCAAUCAAUAUCCAAAGCAAACCCAGCAAGGCAUAUCUCAUAUUCUCCAGUGGCCUAUCCUAUCUAAUCUCAAGUGGCCUAUCUUAUUUUUUUUAUGCCAUGAAUUGACAGCCUUAUCUACAGCUAACAAACCAUACGUGUGGACAGGCAGAAAGAAAAAAAAGAACAAAAAAAAAAAAGAAAGAAAGAA
rnacentral:misc_RNA from 1 species